rnacentral:rRNA from 1 species
GGSUUAGUGGCGAACGGGUGAGUAACACGUGAGUAACCUGCCCUUGACUCUGGGAUAAGCCUGGGAAACUGGGUCUAAUACCGGAUACGACCAUCUGGCGCAUGUCAUGGUGGUGGAAAGCUUUUGUGGUUUUGGAUGGACUCGCGGCCUAUCAGCUUGUUGGUGGGGUAAUGGCCUACCAAGGCGACGACGGGUAGCCGGCCUGAGAGGGUGACCGGCCACACUGGGACUGAGACACGGCCCAGACUCCUACGGGAGGCAGCAGUGGGGAAUAUUGCACAAUGGGCGCAAGCCUGAUGCAGCGACGCCGCGUGAGGGAUGACGGCCUUCGGGUUGUAAACCUCUUUCAGUAGGGAAGAAGCGAAAGUGACGGUACCUGCAGAAGAAGCGCCGGCUAACUACGUGCCAGCAGCCGCGGUAAUACGUAGGGCGCAAGCGUUAUCCGGAAUUAUUGGGCGUAAAGAGCUCGUAGGCGGUUUGUCGCGUCUGCUGUGAAAGACCGGGGCUCAACUCCGGUUCUGCAGUGGGUACGGGCAGACUAGAGUGCAGUAGGGGAGACUGGAAUUCCUGGUGUAGCGGUGAAAUGCGCAGAUAUCAGGAGGAACACCGAUGGCGAAGGCAGGUCUCUGGGCUGUAACUGACGCUGAGGAGCGAAAGCAUGGGGAGCGAACAGGAUUAGAUACCCUGGUAGUCCAUGCCGUAAACGUUGGGCACUAGGUGUGGGGGACAUUCCACGUUUUCCGCGCCGUAGCUAACGCAUUAAGUGCCCCGCCUGGGGAGUACGGCCGCAAGGCUAAAACUCAAAGGAAUUGACGGGGGCCCGCACAAGCGGCGGAGCAUGCGGAUUAAUUCGAUGCAACGCGAAGAACCUUACCAAGGCUUGACAUGAACCGGAAAGACCUGGAAACAGGUGCCCCGCUUGCGGUCGGUUUACAGGUGGUGCAUGG